rnacentral:lncRNA from 1 species
AAGUCCAAAGACCAUGAUACAAAAAAAGUACCAGAUACAUAACUAAACACAUUUACUACUAUAAAAUCACUUCCAAAACAUGGAUCAAAGCAGCACAAAAUGCUUCUUAUGCCUAAUCUGAUCUCAAUGAAAAAGGUAACAAAUACCAAAUUCUUGUUAUUAAUAACAACACUGUAUUUGAAGAUACACUGUGACAAGUAAAAAGUACAAUUAUAUUGAGAACAUAAACAUUGAUAAUAAUGUUUCCAUUCUCUUUUUCAAUUAACAUCUUAUUCUGUUGGACACUAUAGGAACUGGAAACUGAAUGUGAUUCACAACACAACACAACACUCUUUAUGUAUAGAGAAUAAAAGUCACUCAGAUCCUUUGAGCUUCUUUGCAAUGCCAGCAAAGUACUUUCCCUGAUGGAAAGCUUGAGCCAAUUCUAACUCAGUAGGCUGUCU